rnacentral:lncRNA from 1 species
CUCUUCUUCUUCUUCUUCUUCUUCUUCUUCUUGUUCUUGUUCUUCUUCUUCUUCUUCUUCUUCUUCUUCUUCUUUCUCCUCCUCCUCCUCCUCCUCUUCUAACAGUAACCUAAUUAACACUAAACGAAUAGUAACCUAAUUAACCUAAACGAACAAUAACCUAAUUAACAUUAAACUAAUAGAAACCUAGUUAACACUGACAAUAACCUAAACUAACAGAUGCAAUGAAAUGAAAAAAAGAAAAAAAUGAAAGAAAAUGAACUCACCAGGGAGGAG